UGACAGCCCUGUAAUCAGGACGCAUGUCACAAAUAUCUAUAGAAUGGGACAUAUUGAGUCCUUUGGUACUUUGAGGAGCUUGACCUUCCUGUAAUUCAGGUUACGGUCUCUGCUAUUUGGCUAAUCCCAGCGACCACCCUGUAAUCAGGGUACAGGUUGCAUCUCUCUUUUGAAAUCUUUGGAAUUGGAACCAUUUCAGUAACAUGGGCAGUUUGACCUCCCUGUAACUAGGGUUUGGUCUCCGAGGCCUUUUGGAUCUCUUGGCAUUGUGCUUUCUUCACAGCCUGAGGCGAGUGACCGCCCUGUAAUCAGGGUUCUGGUCUUGGCCCUCUAUUCCCUUGGAACUUGGUCAAGUGCAGCCCACUGAUAAGAAUGAGCACCCUGUAAACAGGGUACAGGUCUCAUCAGACACUAUUUAUGGUGCCCCCAUGAGACUGUGUCCAGAGUCCUGGCCCUUCGCACUGCGCUUCCAACUUGCCUGGAAUUGUGCCGCCAAGUCUCCUGCUUUCUGCUCCGCUUACUAUGCUCUUGGAGAUUCGACAUCCUGCUCCUGUUGCUGGCAGCUCCAAGCACAAGUGUAUGAGAAGGAAGUGUCAGGAAUGUCAAGCAAAGAGGAGGAAAGAGGACAACUCACUGAAGAUGGAGGAGAAGGAAAGGGACUCUGGGCACAGUAACCUCCCUUUGUCAGGCCUCAGGUCACGUAAUUACACUGUACGGGCACCUCGAGCCUUUUAAUAGCUUGCGCAGCGUGACCACCCUGUAAUCAGGAUCCAUGUCUGUGCUGUUUUCUCCUUUUGACAUUGUGCUCCGUUAGCUGGCUAGUGACAGUGACUGCCCUGUAAUCAGGGUGCAAGUCACCUUCCCCUCGCUUUCGAGGGACAUUGAGCUCUUUGGUAACUUGAGCAAUGUGACCGCCCUGUAACUAGGGUCCGGGUCUCUGCCCAUUUGCUCAUUUGGCAUUACACCGUACACUGGCCUACUAGUCAGCUUGACAGCCCUGUAAUCAGGACGCAUGUCACAAAUAUCUAUAGAAUGGGACAUAUUGAGUCCUUUGGUACUUUGAGGAGCUUGACCUUCCUGUAAUUCAGGUUACGGUCUCUGCUAUUUGGCUAAUCCCAGCGACCACCCUGUAAUCAGGGUACAGGUUGCAUCUCUCUUUUGAAAUCUUUGGAAUUGGAACCAUUUCAGUAACAUGGGCAGUUUGACCUCCCUGUAACUAGGGUUUGGUCUCCAAGGCCUUUUGGGUCUCUUGGCAUUGUGCUUUCUUCACAGCCUGAAGCGAGUGACCGCCCUGUAAUCAGGGUUCUGGUCUUGGCCCUCUAUUCCCUUGGAACUUGGUCAAGUGCAGCCCACUGAUAAGAAUGAGCACCCUGUAAACAGGGUACAGGUCUCAUCAGACACUAUUUAUGGUGCCCCCAUGAGACUGUGUCCAGAGUCCUGGCCCUUCGCACUGCGCUUCCAACUUGCCUGGAAUUGUGCCGCCAAGUCUCCUGCUUUCUGCUCCGCUUACUGUGCUCUUGGAGAUUCGACAUCCUGCUCCUGUUGCUGGCAGCUCCAAGCACAAGUGUAUGAGAAGGAAGUGUCAGGAAUGUCAAGCAAAGAGGAGGAAAGAGGACAACUCACUGAGGAUGGAGGAGAAGGAAAGGGACUCUGGGCACAGUAACCUCCCUUUGUCAGGCCUCAGGUCACGUAAUUACACUGUACGGGCACCUCGAGCCUUUUAAUACCUUGCGCAGCGUGACCGCCCUGUAAUCAGGGUCCAGGUCUGUGCUGUUUUCUCCUUUUGACAUUGUGCUCUGUUAGUUGGCUAGUGAGAGUGACUGCCCUGUAAUCAGGAUGCAAGUCACUUCCCCCUCGCUUUCGAGGGACAUUGAGCUCUUUGGUAACUUGAGCAAUGUGACCGCCCUGUAACUAGGGCCUGAGUCUCUGCCCACUUGCUCAUUUGGCAUUACGCCUUGUUGUGGCCCUGUAGUCAGGAUGACGACCCUGUAAUCAGGGUACAAGUCAUCUUCCUUUUGCUUCUGGGGGAUACUGAGCUCUUUGGAACCCUGAGCCGUAGGACUCACCUCCCUCUAAUUUGGAGUCAGGGCGCUGCCAUCUUGCUGUUCUGACAGUCUAGUCACCGUGACCACCUGCAAUUCGGGUGCGUGUCACAAGUUGCUGUAGUAUGGGAAGUACUGAGCCCUUUGAUACCUUGUGGAGUGUGACCUCCCUGUAAUUCGGGGUCGGGUCUCUGCCCUUUUGCUCCCUGGCUUUAUGCACCUUUAUCUUUCUAAUCGGAAUGACCACCCCGUAAUUUGGGUGCAGGUCAAAUCCCUCUCAUUUAUCAGGGAUUAGGGUUAGUUUAGGGCCCUUAGGAGUGUGACCGCCCUGUAAUCAGGGUUCAGGUCUAAAGUUGUCUUCUGUCAUUAUCCUCUUUAAUUCAGCUAGUCAGAGUGACCACCUUGUAAUCAGGGUGAGAGUCAAAAUCCCCUCACUUAUGGGAGCUACUGAUGUCUUUCUUACUUGAGCCAUGUGACCUCCCUGUAACUAGGGUUCAGGUCUCUGUCCUUUGCUCUUCUGGGAUUGGGUCUUGUUCUCAGCCUGGUCAGUAUGACUGCCCUGUAAUUAGGGUGCAGGUCAUGUGCCUCUUAUUUAGGGAGGACUAGAUUCCCCUUAAUGCGUUGGGCUGAGUGACCACCCUGUAAGUAGGGUUCAGGUCUCCUCCUUUUCUCUUACUUGUGAUGUAUUUUCCAUUAAUUGGCUAGCUCGAGGGACCACCCUGUAAGAAGGGUUCAGGUCCUUUCCCCUUUGGCUCCUUUGGGUUGCUGCGCUAGUCACUUGGACCCCACCCUGUAAUCAGGGUGCAGGUCUUGUCCCUUUUCCCUUUGUUUGUUUGUUUUUUUGAGGGGAGGAAGAUUGGUCAAGUUUAACGCAGUGGGUCGAGUGACCUGUUGCCAUGAGCUCUCUUUCUGUUCUGGGAAGUCCCCCUUUGUUUUGUAUGGCUGUGUUUGUGAGAGCACGUGAUACAAGUGGGUGUGCAAGCUUUUUAAUUUUUAGUUAUUUAUUUUUAUUUUUUUAAGUUAAAUCGCUGCAGCGCUUUUUCUUUACUCUUCUCAGAAUUGGAAAAAGAGCUCAAAGUGUAUUAAUGUAUUUAUCCUCCUCCUCCCCACAAAAGGGAAGAGUAAGGGCUCAGAUGUCAUCAUUUAGCGCCUUUGACAGUGUGACCGCCCUGUAAACAGGGAUCUGGUCUCUCCAUUUAAGUUGAGUUCCUUUUAGUGGGCUGAUGACAAUGAUUGGCCUUUAAGGAGGCGGAUUUAGCUCAGGUGCUUGUGACUCACAGGAAGUACAGCAUCCCCUAGUACUUGGGCAGCGUGGCCACCCUGUAUCGAGGGUUCAGGUCUCUGCCUUUCGUUCUUUUGCCACCAUGCUACUUCAGCCGGUUGGUUUGAGUCCUGACCCUGUAAUGAAGGGAUUGUUUGUGUCCUUCUGCCUUCUGGGGGAUAUUGAGCUCUGUGGAACCCUGAGUAGUGUGACCACCCUGUAACUAGGGUCCAGGUCUUUGCCACUUGCUCAUUUGGCAUUACGCCGUACACUGGCCGACUAGUCAGCUUGACAGCCCUGUAAUCAGGGCGCAUGUCACAAAUAUCUAUAGAAUGGGACAUAUUGAGUCCUUUGGUACUUUGAGGAGCUUGACCUUCCUGUAAUUCAGGUUACGGUCUCUGCUAUUUGGCUAAUCCCAGCGACCACCCUGUAAUCAGGGUACAGGUUGCAUCUCUCUUUUGAAAUCUGUGGAAUUGGAACCAUUUCAGUAACAUGGGCAGUUUGACCUCCCUGUAACUAGGGUUUGGUCUCCAAGGCCUUUUGGGUCUCUUGGCAUUGUGCUUUCUUCACAGCCUGAGGCGAGUGACCGCCCUGUAAUCAGGGAUCUGGUCUUUGCCCUCUAUUCCCUUGACACUAGGUCAAGUGCAGCCCACUGAUCUGAAUGAGCACCCUGUAAACAGGGUACAGGUCUCAUCAGACACUAUUUAUGGUGCCCCCAUGAGACUGUGUCCAGAGUCCUGGCCCUUUGCACUGCACUUCCAACUUGCCUGGAAUUGUGCCGCCAAGUCUCCUGCUUUCUGCUCCGCUUACUGUGCUCUUGGAGCUCCGAUAUCCUGCUGCUGUUGCUGGAGAAUGGGACAAAACAGAAGCACCCAACUGAAAAAUGAGAAAAGAGACACUAACAGCCUAUGAAGAAGGAGAAAGGAAACAAAUUCUGAGAGCAAAGAACAGUUGUGUGAUCUAUUUCAAAGGUUUUAUACCAUGUCCAGCACCAUGGUAUAUGAGUGUAUUGGAAAGAUAAAUUGAACAAAGUCACUUGCAUCUGUCACCUUUCAAAUGCUGAUUAAUGUUCAUAGACAGUAUAUAACAAACUCUGAAGCUCAUUUACUUGUGGCACCACAAAACUGAAGAGUGGCAAACAGUUUUCUUCUACAACCUUUCAAUUCAGUAACUACUUCUGCCACAUGAGAACUGAUAUGUCAUCUUAUUUUAUAAUGAUGUAUGUCCUCUCUAAUUGUCUUUUACUAAUGAGUCCAUAAAGCAUGCUUUGUGCAUGACACUUUCACAUUCUAGUAGAAAAGUGGGAUGUAUUUUAUUUAAUUAAUUAACCUUAAUCUUUAUGAUUCCUUGACGAGUCAUUUUCAUGUCAUUGCUUGGUGAUUUGGACUUUUGUGUAGCAAGAAGUCAGUUUUAUUUCCUUAAAGUCUCUGUAAGCUACAACAAGUUGUUCAAAGCUGAAAAACUAUUUGAAAAAGAUGGAAGAAAACUGAGAUGUAGGGUGGCCACCCUGAAGAGUAUUGGAAAACCUUUUUCCGUAGGCACACUAUUGACCUUUCUCCUUUCUCUCAGCCCGUUUUUAUACCAAAACAGUACCAUAGAAAUGAUGCCAUGUGAAAUUAUACUAAGUUUCUACCUAUUGCCAAUUAGAAAUUGUCAAUAUAACUGGUUAUUUACAUCUAAAUGUUGAUUUCAUGUAGAUAUGUAACCAAGUAUUUUAAAAGUAUUUUACCAAGGUGACUACCUGAUUUUAUGUAAAAGAGUUACACACAUCUUAGAAAACAUGUUCCUUUGACUUAAGUGUGAGCGACUAAUGCUUUAUGUACUUUUUGUUUUUACUAACAAGUUUGUCAGAAGGCAUAAAGGAAAAAUUGUGAAUCUGUAAUGCAGAGACCUUAAACAAACAAGCACUACUUUUAUUAAAAAUGAAUAAUAAUUUCCUACUGGAGGUGCAAAGAUGUAACUGAAGGGAAGGCAUGUGUUUGUAUUCUCCACUCACCUCAAGCCCUCCCCCUCCAAAAAAAAAACUCUUCAAAAAAGUUAAUGUUGAAAAGAUUAACAUUUACUCCAGAUACUGUCUAAGUCAAUAUUUUUAAAGCUCUGUAUCUCUCACGCAUUGCUAAAAACAAGCAAACAAAAUUAAGAGUUGUUCUGGAAACUGGCAGUUACUCCCCCAACUUCACAACUUUCAAACACCUACUCUACUUCAACUGUCACACCAACCAAACUGUACCACACAUUCAAUUUUAACUUUGCACCUAUUGUGUCAGAAGAGCUAGAGUAUUUUUUGGUAGUUGUGUAUAUUGAUGUACAUGGUAAUAGUGGUGUUUUAAUGGGUUUUUAUGCUUAUUGAAUUAAGUGGAUGCUCGAGGAUGAUGAUUUGGAUGUUUUAGGUAGGCAUUUUUCUGUGAAGUGUUAGUAUUUUUGUAGAGGUGCAGUAUUUUGUGAUGAUUGUUUUUCAGGUAUUGGUUUACAGUGAAUUGUUGAAAAUCGUAGAUGUUUUUGUAUAUGUACAUUAUUAGAUGUACUUAGAGUGCAAAGUUGAGGUUGCCUGUUUGGUGCAAUUUUAUUGGUGUGAAAGUUAAUUUAGGGUAGGUGUUUGAAAGCACUGAGGUUUGAAUUUUAAGCUCAUCAGGGAUCUAGGACUUACCUGGCUACCUCAGUUCUUACUGUCAUUCCCAAUUCCAAAAUCUGGGAUGAAGAUGACCUGGCAGAAUAAAGAUAUCUCCAGAGACUUUCAAAAGUUAACAUUUCUGGAGCUGUAGGGGAUCCUUUAAACCUUAUUGAUCUUUUUGAGGUGUAAUAACUGGAAAACUUUUGACUUCUAUUUCUGCCAGUUAAGUGUUGAACAAUGACCUCUAUUAAAAGAUUUAUACUGAUAGUUAAUUCUGUUCUGUACUAAAAUCUUGCUAAUAUCACCAUUUUAUGAUGUGUGAUAUGAAUUAACUAGAUUUGAUUAUAUCUACUUGAUAAAUAUUGGAAUAUUCCAUGUUAAAUUCAUAGACUUAACUUUGAUUGUCAUAUCAACUUACUUUGCUAUCUGUAACUCCUUGUUUAUUAAUAUAUUUAUU